GAUGAACGCUGGCGGCGUGCCUAAUACAUGCAAGUCGAGCGAACAGACGAGGAGCUUGCUCCUCUGACGUUAGCGGCGGGCGGGUGAGUAACACGUGGAUAACCUACCUAUAAGACUGGGAUAACUUCGGGAAACCGGAGCUAAUACCGGAUAAUAUAUUGAACCGCAUGGUUCAAUAGUGAAAGACGGUUUUGCUGUCACUUAUAGAUGGAUCCGCGCCGCAUUAGCUAGUUGGUAAGGUAACGGCUUACCAAGGCAACGAUGCGUAGCCGACCUGAGAGGGUGAUAGGCCACACUGGAACUGGGCCACGGUCCAGACUCCUACGGGAGGCCGCAGUAGGCAAUCUUCCGCAGUGGGCGAAAGCCUGACGGAGCAACGCCGCGUGAGUGAUGAAGGUCUUCGGAUCGUAAAACUCUGUUAUUAGUGAAGAACAAAUGUGUAAGUAACUAUGCACGUCUUGACGGUACCUAAUCAGAAAGCCACGGCUAACUACGUG
rnacentral:rRNA from 1 species